UACGAAGGGGGCUAGCGUUGCUCGGAUUGACUGGGCGUAAAGGGCGCGUAGGCGGUUCGUACAGUCAGACGUGAAAUUCCUGGGCUCAACCUGGGGCUGCGUUUGAUACGUGCGGACUUGAGUGCGGAAGAGGGUCGUGGAAUUCCUAGUGUAGAGGUGAAAUUCGUAGAUAUUAGGAAGAACACCAGUGGCGAAGGCGGCUCACUGGCCCGGUACUGACGCUGAGGCGCGAAAGCGUGGGGAGCAAACA
rnacentral:rRNA from 1 species